UGGCUUGUUUGAAUAAAUUCAUGGGC
rnacentral:piRNA from 1 species